GCCCUCUCAUGGUGGCACCUGGAGAGUUUCCAGUACUCCACCAGUCUUGACAACAGGAGGGAUAGUAAAGCAGAGGCAUACCCAUUCCAUUGCUAGUUUGGCCAGUGGCUAGCGAGUGGAAGGCAAUCUGCUUCAGGU
rnacentral:snoRNA from 2 species